UUGGAGAUGUGGGACUUGCAGCGCACCCUGACCACGUAGCUCCCCGGCGGCAGGUCCAGCAGCUCCAGCCGCGGCUCGCGCAGCACCCCCUUCACCUGCAGAGGGCGACACAUAGACGGCGGUGCAUUUUACAGAAGGGCCUGAAACGAGAGACUCCACCUUCCAGUUGUGAGGCUCGGACUGGCGGCGGUACUGCAGCUCGAAGACGAGAGUCACCCAGCCCGAGUGCACGUCUUCGGCGUUUGGGUACAGCCAAGACACCAUCGCCGAGCGCCCAGCCCCCUCCUCGCUGCUGUUGGUCAGCCAGUAGCCUUAGAAAUCGCUGGUUGAUAUGCUGGAGUUGGAUCAAGACACAGGAGGUGGAGACAGGAGUACAAAAAUAGCUGAGUUGG